GGCACUCCUUCUCCAUGCAGAUGUGCUAAGUGAGAAAAACACUUUGAGAGUACUCCUUUCCUAUGCUUAAACGUCCAUAAAUGUGUUGUCGGUGCAUCUCAAUUUUCAGACCCUUCAUGAGGAUAUUUAGGCUAUGACACAGUUGGUUCUUUAAUACUUAGAUUUUGUUAUGCAGCAGUCUCAAAUGGACAGGAAUUUAAUCAUUUGCCAUUUCAAAACCCAUUAGCAGUCUGACAGGUAACCAUUGUAUUUACUGCUUUGCCCCACCACACAUGCUUUAAAACCCUUUUUUAAAGUAAGAAAAGUCCAGCUAAAAUUCUUCCUUCCCUUGAACACUUUCUUAAAGGACUAAAACUUAAGGUAUCUGCCCAGUAGUUAAUAAUGACUCCAACAAGUUUCAAAGUUUUGUGUAGGUUGGCUUAUUUUUAUUUUUAGUCCUUAAUCAUAAUUAAAAGAUAUGGCCAUUUCUGAUGAACUGCACUACUUGGAGGUCUACCUGACAGAUGAGUUUGCUAAAGGAAGGAAAGUGGCAGAUCUCUAUGAACUUGUACAGUAUGCUGGAAACAUUAUCCCAAGGCUUUACCUUUUGAUCACAGUUGGAGUUGUAUAUGUCAAGUCAUUUCCUCAGUCCAGGAAGGACAUUUUGAAAGAUUUGGUAGAAAUGUGCCGUGGUGUGCAGCAUCCCUUGAGGGGUCUGUUUCUUCGAAAUUACCUUCUUCAGUGUACCAGAAAUAUCUUACCUGAUGAAGGAGAGCCAA
rnacentral:sRNA from 1 species